GAACUUGUAUAACAUCUAUUGAAUUACAAAGAUAACAUACAUGAAGGAAAUCUACCAACAAGGCAUAUGUACAUAUACAUGCAGAAUAUAGUGGACGAGCCGACAAGGCUGCAAUAGACAACUAUACAUCCAAUAAUUGAAAGCUGACAAGUCCAUAUACAACCCAACUAGACAUAUUGUCUACAGACCUCUAAUGGAAACACAACUAUACAAAGACGGGACUAAGCCACGUCAUUCCCAUAUAUAUAUAUAAACGUACCAAAAUCAAAAGCAGCUCCAGAUCAAGUGGAGCAUGCCAGCUUUCGCUGAUCAGGGAUCCUAAGAAGGGGAAACGUCAGCUUACCUACCUGCACCUGCGGGCAUGAAACGUAGGCCCCGUGAAAUAGGGCGUCAGUAUGAAAAAUGUACCGAGUAUAUAAGGCAUGAAAAUUAGUACGUAAAAGACAGAUGAAACAUGGAAUAUAGAAACAUGUCUUUAAAUCUGAAUAAUUUUAUAAAUUCUAAAACACUUAUAAUGUCAUGCACGUGCGUAUAAAUGUCGUGCCAUGCAUAGGUAUGGGUGUACAUUAUACCAUCAAGCCACUGAGGGCAUCCCAUCAUAUCGUCUCGGCCAUUUUGGCAACAUCACCAAUAUAUACCAGCUGAUUAGGUGGUGGUGUGUAUAUAACGCCGUAACCUUUUUCCAUAUCCCAUAUACAUAUAUUUACAUAUAUACGCGUAUAUAAUGUCAUCUGGUCAUGGGUCAAUGCACAUAUAUGAAUGGGUGAAAUGCAUGCAAAAUACGUAAAAAUCUCAAUAUUCUUUCCGGAUAAACUUUUUCAACUGCGUAUUAUUCUGAGACCCAUGAACAAAAGAUAAUAACAAUUCACAUGGGGAAUCAAGAAUAUAGACACCCCUAGUAUUUCUAUGAAUAGAGUAAUUUAUGAAAACUGUGCGUUUGCUAUUUUCUUCAGUAUAAUUUGGACCGUGCCAAAAGAAAGAAGGGAGGGCUUUAACAUACCUGGAGUAGGGAAAUCCCUAUGAUAUUCUUGAAAAAGAUUGCACCGUACUCCUUUAGAACCGCAAAUUUUCUUACGUUGUUAAGCUUCUAAUAAUAAUUCUCGUUGAAUUUAAUUGAAGAAGCCUCGGUGCUACUGUUUUGUAGGAAUCUCACGGUCACGAAAAUGGUAACAAUUUGAACAAAAUCUCCUACUAAUCUCGCUACUGUUUGUAUUUGUAACAAAAGUGAGGAUGGGACUUUGUUUGAAAUUCAGAAAGCAACGUUCUGUUGCAAAGCCUUCAAAAUGAAAUGAAUUGGAAUUUGAAAUUCAGAAAGCAACGUUCUGUUGCAAAGCCUUCAAAAUGAAAUGAAUUGAAUUUGAAAUUUAGAAAGCAACGUU
rnacentral:lncRNA from 1 species